UUCCUUUUCUUUUCUUUUGGGGUUCUUUCAGGUUUCGAAGAAAAAGAAGAAGGAACAGAGCAAGAGAGAAACAAAGAGGGAGAGAGUUCGGGAUGAGUAGCGCAAAGAGAGAGGGAGAGAGAGAGAGGGAGGCUGUGAGCUCGGGGAUAUAGAGCAAAGGGAAUAGGAAGAAGAUGGAGUAUAAUAGAGGAAGAAAGUGAGCUCAUUUGAGAGCUCGGGUUGGGGUUAUGGAAGAGAAGGAAGGUUCGGGUCAGAGCUGAUAGAGGAGGUUAUGAUCAUCAAUCCCUCAUAGUGAUCUCAGGGAGAGGUUGUUCUAUCUAUGAAGAUAAGCUUCUAGCUGUACAGGAGAACCAAUUUUGAUAUCAGGGAUCAGCUCAGAGGGCUAUGUAGGUACCUUAAUUAUUUGAUAGGGAUUCUUUUUGUAUAGAAUGUAUUUGAAUAUGUUACGACCUGAAAUUUUUAUUUAGUUGGAUUACCGACGUGAGGAAAAAAAAUCUAUUGAGAAUUAUAUGUAUACAUAUUAGAGUUUACUGGUUUGGUAAUAUAUAUGUUUUGGGAGUUUAUAGAAAGUAGGUUUUCUUUUAUAUGAAUCGUUAUGUGAUAAUGGGUAUCAAGAAAUUUAGGGUAA